GCUCGCGUCGUAUAGUGGUCAGUACAUGACGUUGUGGUCGCUCUUCACAGCAAUUCAUGAACCGUCAAAACGGCGGUUCGAUUCCGCCCGCGGGCA